rnacentral:tRNA from 1 species
AAUCAAUGAACUUGUAUAAGUAUAUGUUUUGAAAACAUAAUAAAGAAAUAACAUUUUCUAUUGAUUU